CAUCGGCACCUGAUCAAGCCGUGGUCUGGCAUCCCGGCCUGUCCCCCGCCGCGCCAGACCAGAGGACAAAGGCCUUAUCCCCCUCUCCGGGCCUUUGUCCACAAUUUGCAAGGGCCGCUUCGGACGUACCUCCCGUCCGAAGCGGCCCUUC
rnacentral:sRNA from 1 species